rnacentral:rRNA from 1 species
GACGAACGCUGGCGGCGUGCUUAACACAUGCAAGUCGAACGGAAAGGCCCUGCUUUUGUGGGGUGCUCGAGUGGCGAACGGGUGAGUAACACGUGAGUAACCUGCCCUUGACUUUGGGAUAACUUCAGGAAACUGGGGCUAAUACCGGAUAGGAGCUCCUGCUGCAUGGUGGGGGUUGGAAAGUUUCGGCGGUUGGGGAUGGACUCGCGGCUUAUCAGCUUGUUGGUGGGGUAGUGGCUUACCAAGGCUUUGACGGGUAGCCGGCCUGAGAGGGUGACCGGCCACAUUGGGACUGAGAUACGGCCCAGACUCCUACGGGAGGCAGCAGUGGGGAAUAUUGCACAAUGGGCGGAAGCCUGAUGCAGCAACGCCGCGUGCGGGAUGACGGCCUUCGGGUUGUAAACCGCUUUCGCCUGUGACGAAGCGUGAGUGACGGUAAUGGGUAAAGAAGCACCGGCUAACUACGUGCCAGCAGCCGCGGUGAUACGUAGGGUGCGAGCGUUGUCCGGAUUUAUUGGGCGUAAAGGGCUCGUAGGUGGUUGAUCGCGUCGGAAGUGUAAUCUUGGGGCUUAACCCUGAGCGUGCUUUCGAUACGGGUUGACUUGAGGAAGGUAGGGGAGAAUGGAAUUCCUGGUGGAGCGGUGGAAUGCGCAGAUAUCAGGAGGAACACCAGUGGCGAAGGCGGUUCUCUGGGCCUUUCCUGACGCUGAGGAGCGAAAGCGUGGGGAGCGAACAGGCUUAGAUACCCUGGUAGUCCACGCUGUAAACGGUGGGUACUAGGUGUGGGGUCCAUUCCACGGGUUCCGUGCCGUAGCUAACGCUUUAAGUACCCCGCCUGGGGAGUACGGCCGCAAGGCUAAAACUCAAAGGAAUUGACGGGGCCCCGCACAAGCGGCGGAGCAUGCGGAUUAAUUCGAUGCAACGCGUAGAACCUUACCUGGGUUUGACAUGGAUCGGGAGCGCUCAGAGAUGGGUGUGCCUCUUUUGGGGUCGGUUCACAGGUGGUGCAUGGCUGUCGUCAGCUCGUGUCGUGAGAUGUUGGGUUAAGUCCCGCAACGAGCGCAACCCUUGUUCACUGUUGCCAGCACGUUAUGGUGGGGACUCAGUGGAGACCGCCGGGGUCAACUCGGAGGAAGGUGGGGAUGACGUCAAGUCAUCAUGCCCCUUACGUCCAGGGCUUCACGCAUGCUACAAUGGCUGGUACAGAGAGUGGCGAGCCUGUGAGGGUGAGCGAAUCUCGGAAAGCCGGUCUCAGUUCGGAUUGGGGUCUGCAACUCGACCUCAUGAAGUCGGAGUCGCUAGUAAUCGCAGAUCGGCAACGCUGCGGUGAAUACGUUCCCGGG